UACAGAGGCCUCGAGCGUUAGGCGGAAUCACUGGGCUUAAAGCGUGUGUAGGCGGACUUCUAAGUACCUUGUGAAAUCCCACGGCUCACCCGUGGAACUGCUCGGUAUACUGGUCGUCUUGAGCCUUCUAGGGGCGAGUGGAACAAACGGUGGAGCGGUGAAAUGCGUAGAUAUCGUUUGGAACGCCGAUGGUGAAAACAGGUCGCUGGGGCUGUGCUGACGCUGAGACACGAAAGCCAGGGGAGCGAACGGG
rnacentral:rRNA from 1 species